GGGAAAUAUCCUUGGAUAGGUAGGAAUCCAUUCCUAUUAGAGUCAGCUAGGGCUUAUCUACAGGAGGUAGUUAGUGUAAGCAAGCUAAAGUAUUAAAUUGUAGCAUACUAAGAGCACCUUUCUGAAACAGCUUUGAAAACUACUUCACAGUUACUGUGAACCAGGAACAACUAAGCAAAUUUAUAACCUCUUUCCUGUUGUAUUUGAAGCCAGCACACACUGCUCUGCCAUUGUACAGGUAUG
rnacentral:lncRNA from 1 species